rnacentral:rRNA from 1 species
GACGAACGCUGGCGGCGUGCUUAACACAUGCAAGUCGAACGAAAAGAGGGAAAGAGCUUGCUCUUUCCGGAAUUGAGUGGCAAACGGGUGAGUAACACGUAAACAACCUGCCUUCAGGAUGGGGACAACAGACGGAAACGACUGCUAAUACCGAAUAAGUUCCAAGGGCCGCAUGGCCCAUGGAAGAAAAGGUGGCCUCUACCUGUAAGCUAUCGCCUGAAGAGGGGUUUGCGUCUGAUUAGCUGGUUGGAGGGGUAACGGCCCACCAAGGCGACGAUCAGUAGCCGGUCUGAGAGGAUGAACGGCCACACUGGAAUUGAGACACGGUCCAGACUCCUACGGGAGGCAGCAGUGGGGAAUCUUCCGCAAUGGGCGAAAGCCUGACGGAGCAACGCCGCGUGAGUGAUGACGGCCUUCGGGUUGUAAAACUCUGUGAUCCGGGACGAAAAGGCAGAGUGCGAAGAACAAACUGCAGUGACGGUACCGGAAAAGCAGGCCACGGCUAACUACG